CAGUAGCCGCGGGAAUACGAAGGGGGCUAGCGUUGUUCGGAUUUACUGGGUGUAAAGCGCACGUAGGCGGAUUCUUAAGUCAGAGGUGAAAUCUCAAGGCUCAACCUUGGAACUGCCUUUGAUACUGGGGAUCUUGGGUCCGGGAGAGGUGAGUGGAACUGCGAGUGUAGAGGUGAAAUUCGUAGAUAUUCGCAAGAACACCAGUGGCGAAGGCGGCUCACUGGCCCGGAACUGACGCUGAGGUGCGAAAGCGUGGGGAGCAAACAGGAUUAGAUACCCCUGUAGUCCCUGUCUCUUAUAC
rnacentral:rRNA from 1 species